rnacentral:rRNA from 1 species
UACGUAGGGUGCAAGCGUUAAUCGGAAUUACUGGGCGUAAAGCGCGUGUAGGCGGCCAUACAGGUCCGUUGUGAAAACUCGAGGCUUAACCUCGAGACGUCGAUGGAAACCGUAUGGCUAGAGUCCGGAAGAGGAGAGUGGAAUUCCUGGUGUAGCGGUGAAAUGCGCAGAUAUCAGGAAGAACACCCGUGGCGAAGGCGGCUCUCUGGGACGGUACUGACGCUGAGACGCGAAAGCGUGGGGAGCGAACAGG